UGCCAGCAGCCGCGGUAAGACGGAGGAUGCAAGUGUUAUUCGGAAUCACUGGGCUUAAAGAGUGCGUAGGCGGCUUUACAGGUGGGGUGUGAAAGCCCACGGCUCAACCGUGGAACUGCGCCCCAAACCGUAAGACUUGAGGGAGAUAGAGGUGAGCGGAACUGAUGGUGGAGCGGUGAAAUGCGUUGAUAUCAUCAGGAACACCAGCGGCGAAGGCGGCUCACUGGGUCUUUUCUGACGCUGAGGCACGAAAGCUAGGGGAGCGAACGGGAUUAGAUA
rnacentral:rRNA from 1 species